rnacentral:rRNA from 1 species
AGUGGACGCUGGCGGUAGGCCUAACACAUGCAAGUCGAACGGCAGCACAGUAAGAGCUUGCUCUUACGGGUGGCGAGUGGCGGACGGGUGAGGAAUACAUCGGAAUCUACUUUUUCGUGGGGGAUAACGUAGGGAAACUUACGCUAAUACCGCAUACGACCUACGGGUGAAAGCAGGGGAUCUUCGGACCUUGCGCGAUUGAAUGAGCCGAUGUCGGAUUAGCUAGUUGGCGGGGUAAAGGCCCACCAAGGCGACGAUCCGUAGCUGGUCUGAGAGGAUGAUCAGCCACACUGGAACUGAGACACGGUCCAGACUCCUACGGGAGGCAGCAGUGGGGAAUAUUGGACAAUGGGCGCAAGCCUGAUCCAGCCAUACCGCGUGGGUGAAGAAAGCCUUCGGGUUGUAAAGCCCUUUUGCUGGGAAAGAAAAGCAGCAGGUUAAUACCCCGCUGUUCUGACGGUACCCAAAGAAUAAGCACCGGCUAACUUCGUG